GACGAACGCUGGCGGCGUGCUUAACACAUGCAAGUCGAACGGAAAGGCCCUGCUUUUGUGGGGUGCUCGAGUGGCGAACGGGUGAGUAACACGUGAGUAACCUGCCCUUGACUUUGGGAUAACUUCAGGAAACUGGGGCUAAUACCGGAUAGGAGCUCCUGCUGCAUGGUGGGGGUUGGAAAGUUUCGGCGGUUGGGGAUGGACUCGCGGCUUAUCAGCUUGUUGGUGGGGUAGUGGCUUACCAAGGCUUUGACGGAUAGCCGGCCUGGGAGGGUGACCGGCCACAUUGGGCCUGAGAUACGGCCCAGACUCCUACGGGAGGCAGCAGUGGGGAAUAUUGCACAAUGGGCGGAAGCCUGAUGCAGCAACGCCGCGUGCGGGAUGACGGCCUUCGGGUUGUAAACCGCUUUCGCCUGUGACGAAGCGUGAGUGACGGUAAUGGGUAAAGAAGCACCGGCUAACUACGUG
rnacentral:rRNA from 1 species